rnacentral:rRNA from 1 species
GUCAACCUGCCCUAUAGUCGGUGAUAACCUCGGGAAACUGAGGCUAAUACUCGAUAGAUGACGUAUGCUGGAAUGAUUGGACGUCCAAAGGGUGAACCAGGCGCCUUAGGAUGGGACUGCGCCGGAUUAGGUAGUUGGUGGGGUAAUGGCCCACCAAGCCUAUGAUCAGUAAGGGCCCUGAGAGUGGAAGCCCUGAGAGGGAUUCUGAGACACUACCCCCAGCCCUACGGGGUGCAGCAGGCGCGAAAACUUUGCAAUGCGCGAAAGCGUGACAAGGGGAUUCAAAGUGCUUCUCAAUUAGAAUGGCUUUUGCCAAGUGUAAAAAGCUUGGCGAAUAAGGGCUGGGCAAGACCGGUGCCAGCCGCCGCGGUAACACCAGCGGCUCGAGUGGUAGCCACCAAUAUUGGGCCUAAAGCGUCCGUAGCCGGCUUAAUAAGUCUUUUGUGAAAUCUUGGAGCUUAACUCUAACGCGUGCAGUGGAUACUGCUAGACUAGAGACCGGGAGACGUAAGGAGUACAUCCAAGGUAGCGGUAAAAUGUGUUAAUCCUGGAAGGACUAACAAUGGCGAAGGCACCGUACGAGAACAGAUCUGACAGUGAGGGAUGAAAGCUAGGGGCGCAAACGGGAUUAGAUACCCAGGUAGUCCUAGCAGUAAACAAUGCACACUAAACGUUGGGCCCUCUUCGAGAGCUGGCAGUGCUGUAGCGAAGGCGUUAAGUGUGCCGCCUGGGAAGUACGGUCGCAAGGCUGAAACUUAA